CCACCGCCCUCAGCACUGCGGCCUGACACCGAGUCACCCCAGCGAGCCCCAGGCGCUCAGGAUCCCAGCCCUGCAGACGCCCCGCGAGUGGCCCAGCCAGAGCCCUGCGACCCAGGCGGCAGGCAGAGCCGGGAGAGGGGCGGCACCCAGGCAGCCCCUCAGCAUCUCGGGGCUGCUGCAGAGGCAGCAUUUAGGGUCUGCCGGCCUCGGGGGGCUCGUGCACGAGCGGUGAGCAGGAUCCCGCCCGUCUG